UACGGAGGAUGCGAGCGUUAUCCGGAUUUAUUGGGUUUAAAGGGUGCGUAGGCGGAUAUGUAAGUCAGCGGUGAAACUCACAGGCUCAACCUGUGCCGUGCCGUUGAAACUGUGUAUCUGGAAUGCGGAUGCUGUGGGAGGAAUGUGUAGUGUAGCGGUGAAAUGCAUAGAUAUUACACAGAACACCGAUUGCGAAGGCAGCUUACUGGGCCAUUACUGACGCUGAUGCACGAAAGCGUGGGGAUCGAA
rnacentral:rRNA from 1 species